rnacentral:rRNA from 1 species
CUGGUGCCAGAAGACUCGGUAAGGCCAGAGACGCAAGCGUUAGUCAUCUUGAUCAGGCGUAAAGGGUCUGUAGGCUGCUUUAAAAUAUAAAAAAAUCUUAAUGGUCUUUUUAUAGAAAUAAUUAAAGCUAGAAUCAAAUAGAGGUCACGAAUUUAAAAAUAUGAGACAAUUCCUAAUGGAGGGUCGACAUCUGUAGAUAUUAGGAGGAGUACUAAUUAGCGGAAGCUCUUUUCCAUCUAAUGAUUGACGCUGAGAGACGAAGGGGAGGACAGAAAAUAGGAUUAGAUACCCUAGUAUCCCUCCCUGUAAACGAUGAAUGGUAGUUGCUAGAUAUAAUUUAGUGGCGAUGCUAACCGCGUUAACCCAUUCCGCCUUGUGAGUAC